rfam:Picea glauca, whole genome shotgun sequence.
UGACAGGUUUUUUUUAAAACCAUAUUUUUACAAUAAAAGAUCUAC